rnacentral:rRNA from 1 species
GACAUGGCUCAGGAUGAACGCUGGCGGCGUGCCUAACACAUGCAAGUCGAACGAGGUAUUUUGAUUGAAGUUUUCGGAUGGAUUUCAAGAUACCGAGUGGCGGACGGGUGAGUAACGCGUGGGUAACCUGCCUCAUACAGGGGGAUAACGGUUAGAAAUGACUGCUAAUACCGCAUAAGCGCACAGUACCGCAUGGUGCGGUGUGAAAAACUCCGGUGGUAUGAGAUGGACCCGCGU